rnacentral:rRNA from 1 species
CAGUCGCCGCGGUAACACGAAGGGGGCUAGCGUUGUUCGGAUUUACUGGGCGUAAAGGGCGCGUAGGCGGGCGAAUAAGUCAGGGGUGAAAUCCCAAGGCUCAACCUUGGAACUGCCUUUGAUACUGGAAAUCUUGAGUCCGGGAGAGGUGAGUGGAAUUUCCGGUGUAGCGGUGAAAUGCGUAGAUAUCGGAAGGAACACCUGUGGCGAAAGCGGCUCACCGGACCAUUACUGACGCUGAGGCGCGAAAGCUAGGGGAGCAAACAGGAUUAGAUACCCCGGUAGUCCCUGUCUCUUAUAC